rnacentral:rRNA from 1 species
UACGUAGGGUCCGAGCGUUGCCCGGAAUUACUGGGCGUAAAGAGCUCGUAGGUGGUUUGUCGCGUUGUUCGUGAAAACUCACAGCUCAACUGUGGGCGUGCGGGCGAUACGGGCAGACUAGAGUACUGCAGGGGAGACUGGAAUUCCUGGUGUAGCGGUGGAAUGCGCAGAUAUCAGGAGGAACACCGAUGGCGAAGGCGGCUCUCUGGGCCUUACCUGACGCUGAGGAGCGAAAGCGUGGGUAGCGAACAGG